rnacentral:misc_RNA from 1 species
GAUGAAGAAACGCAGCGAAACGCGAUAAGUAAUGUGAAUUGCAGAAUUUAGUGAAUCAUCGAACUUUUGAACGCACAUUGCGCCCGGCGGCACUCCGCCGGGCAUGCCUGUCCGAGCGUCAUUAUACUGCCCUCGACUCUCCGAGUCGGUGUUGGGAGCCUCUGCGCCCGUACGCAGCUCCCCAAGUCCACUGGCGUCGCGCCACGGUGCCUCCUGCGUAGUAAUUUCACCUCGCUUGGGACCCUGGGCGCCGGCUGCCUUCUCUCUCGCAGCAGGCUCUUCGAGUCGGCUCCAGCACAGUUGACCUCGGAUCAGGUAGGGUUACCCGCUGAACUUAAGCAUAUCAAUAAGCGGAGGA